AUCUAUCUGACGAGUCCCAAAUAGGACAAAACGCGUGUCCUGGAU
rnacentral:hammerhead_ribozyme from 1 species